rfam:Aedes aegypti strain Liverpool supercont1.130 genomic scaffold, whole genome shotgun sequence.
CCAUCGGUUCUUUUCAGAACCAUCAAAUUAGUGGAAAAGAGUUAAA